rnacentral:sRNA from 1 species
GUGAUUCUGGCUGCAACAUCUGUCACCCCAUUGAUCAUUAGGGUUGAUUUGGAUGAUGCAGCUGGAUAGGCAGGGGUCUCCCUUCCUC